rnacentral:rRNA from 1 species
UACAGAGGUCCCGAGCGUUGUUCGGAUUCACUGGGCGUAAAGGGUGCGUAGGUGGUGAGGUAAGUCGGAUGUGAAAUCUCCGGGCUCAACCCGGAAAUGGCAUUGGAAACUACCUUGCUAGAGGAUUUGAGGGGGAUUGGAAUACUUGGUGUAGCAGUGAAAUCGUAGAUAUCAAGUGGAACACCAGUGGCGAAGGCGAAUCCCUGGAAAAUACCU